UGAGCUGUGUCUGUGACCUACAGCUCAUGGCCAGAUCCUUAACCCUUUGAGCAAGGCCAGGGAUCAAACCUGUGUCCUCAUGGAUACCAGUCGGGUUCGUUAGCCGCUGAGCCAUGAAGGGAACACUGUGAAUUUGGAACUUAUUGGUGGUGUUUAUUAGCAUGUAGAGCUCUUUACAACUUGGCCAUUAGUUCAUAUACUGUCAAAGUCAGACGUUCUUAUUAUGCUUAUCAGAGUGAGCUGAUAGAAGUUAACACGGGGAUGUGACGUGGGGCAAAAGAGGUGUGUGCUGCUGUCUACCCUUUGCCUGUUCACAAUUGUUUGAGUCCCAUGUUAAGUCCACCAAGUCUUCAAGGUGAUGGCCAGUCACAGUCUAUAAAAGGCUGCACGGGAGGAUCAGUGAGACAAGCUAUAGUUCCUGUUGUUAUAAACUGAACCUAAGACCAAAAUUCAUAUCCGUAAUCCCCUUCCUCCACCAUCAUUUGAGACUUUCCUUGCCCUCUGUCAGAAAUUCAGGUCUAGUUUGGUUGCAUUGCAGAGAAACCCAGACCCUCAUCUCUUCAGAGAUCUGGGGCCUUGGUUACUUUGCCCCUUUUAGGCUCUGAUGAUCACAUUUGUCUAUUUGCUGUUCACAUCAGGUAUAGCAGCAUCAAGAAUCACCCAGUGCAUCGCCUGAGUUUCAGACACAUCUUGUUUCAUUUGAUAAUUAUAAUCCUAGCUCCUCAUGUUAACUAACAUAUUAACUCAUUUUUUUUUUUUGACCUGUUAUCCCACAGACAUGAGCAACCCAAGACCAGUUGGCAGCAGUAGCUUCAGUUCUGUGGAAAUCGUAUUCUACUUCCUGAUAGAAAUGUGUUAGCUUUUUCCUCUUCCCCUGUCUAGGAAACAGGACCUCCAAUCCAGCAGAGCCUCUGGUGGUAGGGAUGGGAAGCACAGUUCUGCAAGUAGGUCACUGAGAAUGGUGGUAAGAAAGGCCAAUCCUAUUUCUGUCCUCCUGACUCGUAGACCCAAGUAUUCUAGCAGCUGGGGAUCUGGAAUCACAUACUGGCCUUUGGUAUAGUGCAUGUAUCACAUCCUAGAGAAUAGCACCCUAACUCUACAGGCUGUAAUCACUGAACUGGUAUCUAUAUAAACCCUGUAAUAGUCCAUUUCAUUGUUCUAUUUGAUUGACUGUUUCUGGAUAAUGCUGCAUAUGAUAGGAUCAUGGAUCCGGUAAUUCAUGUUGCUCUUUAUUUGUUACAAAAUUAUCCCUUGAUCUGAAGUAGUGUAAUGCAGGAUACCAUGUUGGUAAUAGGCAUUCUGUAGACGCUCAGAUGGUAAUAAUGAUGACAGGGGUGCUGAUGGAAGGGAAAACAAGCCUGGAUUAAGAGUACAAAUUAAUUACAGUAGAAAAGAAUUGCUUCCUCCUUCAAGAUGGAAGGAAAUUAUUAUAACAACUUGCUCCCAAGUGGCUAAUUUCUCUCUUGAAGGAGUGCUACAAACUCACUAGUCUCUGCUGUUGACAGAUUACAUAUUCAAAAUGGCGUAAUUAUAGCAGCCUUAGCGAGAGAAAGCCUAAGCAGUUGGGUCCAUGCAUAGCCCUUAUCUCUGCCACUAUGAUUACUUCACUUGUGGGUGUGUUGUGUUAGCCUGGAGUGGUCAAGGGCAAGGCAGGCUGAAAUCUACUGAAGGAAUCAUCCUGUCCACCUAAUCUUUGCCUUCUCAGGUGGGCUGUUACUGAUACUCCAUGACACAAAAAUCUACACACUUUUCCAUAAUCAAAAGACUUUAUCUUUAACUCAGGCCACGUCUUUCUCCAUCAACAUGGAUGACCAAGUGCAAUGUGUGAAGCUAUGUCCAUCAGGAAGAUUUUUCCCUCACUACUAAUCCUUCCAGCCACCUGAGAGAGAGGAUAUAGUAUGGAAGCCAGCCAUUUUUGGCUCUCCCCAACAUAGCAAGCUGGUGCAUCCAUGAACAAGACCCACUUUUUCCUCCUCUGUCAUCUGGUGAGAUUCCUAGGAAUUGUGAUCACGCCAGGGAUUACCACCAUCCUGCUCAUCAUGGCAAUAGGACUGUGUCCAUGCCUUGCAACUGGAUGUCUUAAAUGGACAUGUAAACUACAGUACACAAUAAAUUUUAUGGCUGAUGUAUAAUCCUUCAGAAAUUGCCCUCUUUCUAAUAGAGUUCCCUGGCCAGGGAUCAGAUCCGAAGUGUAGUUGCAGCAACGCUGGAUCGUUAAUUCACUGUGCUGGGCCGGGGAUGGAACCUGCAACCCAGUGCUUCCAAGACACUGCCGAUCCUGUUGCACACAGCGGAACACCUGUUCCCCCCAUCCUUGACAUGGAAAACAAAGAUGCCUCGGAUGGGAUGUCUGCCCCUCAUCAUCUUAGAUUCUCCUGAUGAAGAUGUACACAACAGAUCCCUGAUGAAAUUCAUCAUGCAAAUUACCAAGAG